rnacentral:rRNA from 1 species
GAGUUUGAUCCUGGCUCAGAUUGAACGCUGGCGACAGGCCUAACACAUGCAAGUCGAGCGGAUGACAGGAGCUUGCUCCUGAAUUCAGCGGCGGACGGGUGAGUAAUGCCUAGGAAUCUGCCUGGUAGUGGGGGACAACGUUUCGAAAGGAACGCUAAUACCGCAUACGUCCUACGGGAGAAAGCAGGGGACCUUCGGGCCUUGCGCUAUCAGAUGAGCCUAGGUCGGAUUAGCUAGUUGGCGAGGUAAUGGCUCACCAAGGCGACGAUCCGUAACUGGUCUGAGAGGAUGAUCAGUCACACUGGAACUGAGACACGGUCCAGACUCCUACGGGAGGCAGCAGUGGGGAAUAUUGGACAAUGGGCGAAAGCCUGAUCCAGCCAUGCCGCGUGUGUGAAGAAGGUCUUCGGAUUGUAAAGCACUUUAAGUUGGGAGGAAGGGCAGUAACUUAAUACGUUGCUGUUUUGACGUUACCGACAGAAUAAGCACCGGCUAACUCUGUGCCAGCAGCCGCGGUAAUACAGAGGGUGCAAGCGUUAAUCGGAAUUACUGGGCGUAAAGCGCGCGUAGGUGGUUUGUUAAGUUGGAUGUGAAAGCCCUGGGCUCAACCUGGGAACUGCAUUCAAAACUGACAAGCUAGAGUAUGGUAGAGGGUGGUGGAAUUUCCUGUGUAGCGGUGAAAUGCGUAGAUAUAGGAAGGAACACCAGUGGCGAAGGCGACCACCUGGACUGAUACUGACACUGAUGUGCGAAAGCGCGGGGAGCAAACAGGAUUAGAUACCCUGGUAGUCACGCCGUAAACGAUGUCAACUAGCCGUUGGGAGCC